AGUGGAAUUGCUGGGUUAUAUGGUGACUCUGUUUCUGAAGAGCUGCCAAACUGUUUCCCAAAGCGGCUACACCAUUUUACAGUCUCACCAGCAAU
rnacentral:pre_miRNA from 1 species